rnacentral:sRNA from 1 species
GCAGAGCUGAACACACCCGGGGAGCUGUGCAUCCGAGGGUACUGCGUCAUGCUGGGCUACUGGGAGAUGUCGCCACAAUGAACGAGCAGGGCUUCUGCAAGAUCGUGGGCCGCUCUAAGGAUAUGAUCAUCCGGGGUGGUGAGAACAUCUACCCCGCAGAGCUCGAGGACUUCUUUCACACACACCCGAAGGUGCAGGAAGUGCAGGUGGUGGGAGUGAAGGACGAUCGGAUGGGGGAAGAGAUUUGUGCCUGCAUUCGGCUGAAGGAUGGGGAGGAGACCACGGUGGAGGAGAUCAAAGCUUUCUGCAAAGGGAAGAUCUCUCACUUCAAGAUUCCGAGGUACAUCGUGUUUGUCACAAACUACCCCCUCACCA